rnacentral:rRNA from 1 species
GACGAACGCUGGCGGCGUGCUUAACACAUGCAAGUCGAACGGAGUGGCGAACGGGUGGGUAACACGUGGGUGAUCUGCCUUGCACUCGGGGAUAAGCAUGGGAAACUGGGUCUAAUAACGGAUCGUGUAAGAUGAGCUGGCGGGCUAUCAGCUUGUUGGUGGGGUAAUGGCCUACCAAGGCGUCGACGGGUAGCCGGCCUGAGAGGGUGUACGGCGACAUGGGGACUGAGAUACGGACCAGACGCGUACGGGAGGCAGCGGUGGGGAAUAUGGCACAAUGGGCGGAAGCCUGAUGAAGCGAUGCCGCGUGGGGGAUGACGGCCUUCGGGUUGUAAACUCCUUUCGACAGGGACGCGGUACCUGUAUAAGAAGCACCGGCUAACUACGUGCCAGCAGCCGCGGUAAUAC